AGGCAGAUUAAGGAAGGUCAGGAGUUCGAGAUGAGACCAGUCUGCCCAACCUGGCAAAACCUGUGUCUAUUAAAACUAUAAAAAAUUAGCCAGGUGUGGUGGCAGGCGCCUGUAAUCCCAGCUACUCAGGAGGCUGAGGAAGGAGAAUUGCUUGAACCCAGGAGGCGGAGGUUGCAGUGAGCUGAGAUCAUGCCACUGCACUCCAGCCUGGGUGACAAGAGUGAAAAUUUACCUGAAAAAAGAAAGAAAGAAAGAAACCUUGUCUAUACCAAAAAUACAAAAAUUAAACCCUGAAGGUCACGUCCGAAUGAGAAAGACAUUGUUUGGAUCAAAUCGUCUGACACUAAGGAAUAGUGCCGACUGGCCAAGUGAGGUGACUCACACCUAUAAUCCCAGCACUUUGGGAGGCCAAGGCAGAUGGAUCACCUGAGGUCAGGAGUUCAAGACCUGCCUGACCAACAUGGUGAAACUCCAUCUCUACUAAAAAAAAAAGUACAAGAAAAUUAGCCGGGCGUGGUGGCGCGUGCCUGUAAAUCCCGGCUACUCAGGAGGCUGAGGCAGGAGAAUUGCUUGAAUCCAGGUGGCAGAGGUUGUGGUGGGUGGAGAUCAUGCCACUACACCUUAGCCUGGGCAACAAGAGUGAAAAUCUGUCUCAAAAAAAAAAAAAAGAAUAGUGAAGAGUUAGGGCAGAUUUAUUUUCAGAGAAGCAGGGAAUCUGGAAUUUUGGGUGAAAUGUCCCAAUUUCCAGAAGCUGAAAAUGCUCUCAAAGGUAAAAUUCAAGUUAGCCUAUAUCAAGCUUCUCCUUGUUCUAUGUGUGAAUAGCUAGUCUGUAUCUUCACCUAUGUAUAUUUAAAAAUCAACCUUAAGAAGGCCCUUGGCCACCAUAAUCCUUCCACAUGGUAGCAAGAGCCCAGCCUCUGAGACUGUGCUUCCUUCCCGCCUCCCACUGGAAUGCCUUCCCCCUAAUCUCCAAGGUAUCAAACCGGUCAGGGACAGCUGAGACAACCCUACUUCUGGGAGUCCUCCCCAACCCCUUGAAGUCACAGGCAUCUCUGAUGUCCCUGCCCUUCAUCCACAUCACUGAACAAUUAAGUGCACACAUCUCUGUACUUCUAUUUAAACCAUUCCAUAUGUGUUUACAAUUAACGACUUCAUGAAUGACUGCGGUAUGGAUGGAGCAGAAAGGAAUGCUGAGGGAGGACUCCGGUUAGAAUGAGCUGCUCUUCCAGGACUAGGAAUGAACUUUCCCCAGUACCAACCAGGCAGCCUCCAGGGCAAGAAAAGGUAAGGGGAUCCAUCCUGUUGACAGCCAAGAUGGAAUUACAGGUAAUUCUCACCUCUUUUUCGACUCUCAGUUGGAAACCCCCAGCCACAAGGUGAAGCACAAUCCACUCCAGAGCCCCACAGUUGGGGCCGGGGAUGUCACAGAAAUCACUAGGGCAGCCAGUUCCCAUCCGGGGGGGCCCAGACUGACCCAGCACCCUCAAGCUUUGCUCCAAACUCAGGCCAGGGAGUGAAGCCCUUGUCCCCAAGCCACAGAGUGAGGGUUUGUCUCUAACCCUGUGGGCUCCAGUGAAAGGAAAAUGGCCUGCAGGUGCCCACAGGAGAGCACCUGAGUUCUGAGACAGCUCUAUGGCUCCCAGCCUUCAUUCCCAUGAGUAACACAGGGACACACAGAGGGGCAUGCUGACUGCCUAUAGGGCACCCAUGGAACACGGAUGCACCCUGCAGAUCCUGAAACUGGUCAGGUAAUGAGGUACAGAGGUGUGGGGAAGACCUGGAGGGAGGCCUUACUGGGUGCCAACCAGCCUAACCAGCCGGGGCCACAGACCAGAAGUGCUUCUGACAUUAACCAGACACAGGGAAGGUGUGUAGGAUGAGUAGUAGAAGUGACUGCAGAGGCCUCUGGGGAUUGUAGUUUUGGAGCUAGAGAGGCGGGAAAGCAGUUGGUUUUGCCCACACAGGGUGCCUCUGACAUCUGCACAGCACACACAACCAAGUUUAGGAGCCUACUGUUAAGAUGCCCAAGUGACAUUGACAAGUUUCGCUGGGAGCCAAUGAGGUCUGCUGACCACAAGAGCAUCGCGGUACUGCUGAAGGAUUCUGGAAAAUGUGGUGGGGUUGGCCGAAUCUCGCUCUGUCACCCAGACUGGAGUGCAAUGGUGUGAUCUCGGCUCAUUGCAACCUCUGACUCCCAGGUUCAAGAGAUUCUCCUGCCUCAGCCUCCUAAGUGGCUGGGAUUACAGGUGCGGCUUGGAGGAAACUUCUGGAGCGUGGGGUGGUGCUGAAGAGGAGGCAACAUUGUAACUGUUUUGUUCAACAUGGGUGUUUUCUUUAUGCAUCAAUUUGUAUUUUUAAAGAUAUUACAUUAAAAUUUUGUUUAUCUUGA